rnacentral:rRNA from 1 species
UACGUAGGUGACCAGCGUUGUCCGGAUUUACUGGGCGUAAAGAGCGCGCAGGCGGUCGUUCAAGUCGAGUGUGAAAGCCCCCGGCUCAACUGGGGAGGGUCACUCGAUACUGAUCGACUUGAAGGCAGGAGAGGGAAGCGGAAUUCCCGGUGUAGUGGUGAAAUGCGUAGAUAUCGGGAGGAACACCUGUGGCGAAAGCGGCUCACUGGACCACAACUGACGCUGAGGCGCGAAAGCGUGGGGAGCAAACAGG